GGGUUGUGAGGUUAAGCGACUAAGCGUACACGGUGGAUGCCCUGGCAGUCAGAGGCGAUGAAGGACGUGCUAAUCUGCGAUAAGCGUCGGUAAGGUGAUAUGAACCGUUAUAACCGGCGAUUUCCGAAUGGGGAAACCCAGUGUGUUUCGACACACUAUCAUUAACUGAAUCCAUAGGUUAAUGAGGCGAACCGGGGGAACUGAAACAUCUAAGUACCCCGAGGAAAAGAAAUCAACCGAGAUUCCCCCAGUAGCGGCGAGCGAACGGGGAGGAGCCCAGAGUCUGAAUCAGUGUGUGUGUUAGUGGAAGCGUCUGGAAAGGCGCGCGAUACAGGGUGACAGCCCCGUACACAAAAAUGCACAUAUUGUGAGCUCGAUGAGUAGGGCGGGACACGUGGUAUCCUGUCUGAAUAUGGGGGGACCAUCCUCCAAGGCUAAAUACUCCUGACUGACCGAUAGUGAACCAGUACCGUGAGGGAAAGGCGAAAAGAACCCCGGCGAGGGGAGUGAAAAAGAACCUGAAACCGUGUACGUACAAGCAGUGGGAGCCUCUUUUAUGGGGUGACUGCGUACCUUUUGUAUAAUGGGUCAGCGACUUAUAUUCUGUAGCAAGGUUAACCGAAUAGGGGAGCCGAAGGGAAACCGAGUCUUAACUGGGCGUUAAGUUGCAGGGUAUAGACCCGAAACCCGGUGAUCUAGCCAUGGGCAGGUUGAAGGUUGGGUAACACUAACUGGAGGACCGAACCGACUAAUGUUGAAAAAUUAGCGGAUGACUUGUGGCUGGGGGUGAAAGGCCAAUCAAACCGGGAGAUAGCUGGUUCUCCCCGAAAGCUAUUUAGGUAGCGCCUCGUGAAUUCAUCUCCGGGGGUAGAGCACUGUUUCGGCAAGGGGGUCAUCCCGACUUACCAACCCGAUGCAAACUGCGAAUACCGGAGAAUGUUAUCACGGGAGACACACGGCGGGUGCUAACGUCCGUCGUGAAGAGGGAAACAACCCAGACCGCCAGCUAAGGUCCCAAAGUCAUGGUUAAGUGGGAAACGAUGUGGGAAGGCCCAGACAGCCAGGAUGUUGGCUUAGAAGCAGCCAUCAUUUAAAGAAAGCGUAAUAGCUCACUGGUCGAGUCGGCCUGCGCGGAAGAUGUAACGGGGCUAAACCAUGCACCGAAGCUGCGGCAGCGACGCUUAUGCGUUGUUGGGUAGGGGAGCGUUCUGUAAGCCUGUGAAGGUGUGCUGUGAGGCAUGCUGGAGGUAUCAGAAGUGCGAAUGCUGACAUAAGUAACGAUAAAGCGGGUGAAAAGCCCGCUCGCCGGAAGACCAAGGGUUCCUGUCCAACGUUAAUCGGGGCAGGGUGAGUCGACCCCUAAGGCGAGGCCGAAAGGCGUAGUCGAUGGGAAACAGGUUAAUAUUCCUGUACUUGGUGUUACUGCGAAGGGGGGACGGAGAAGGCUAUGUUGGCCGGGCGACGGUUGUCCCGGUUUAAGCGUGUAGGCUGGUUUUCCAGGCAAAUCCGGAAAAUCAAGGCUGAGGCGUGAUGACGAGGCACUACGGUGCUGAAGCAACAAAUGCCCUGCUUCCAGGAAAAGCCUCUAAGCAUCAGGUAACAUCAAAUCGUACCCCAAACCGACACAGGUGGUCAGGUAGAGAAUACCAAGGCGCUUGAGAGAACUCGGGUGAAGGAACUAGGCAAAAUGGUGCCGUAACUUCGGGAGAAGGCACGCUGAUAUGUAGGUGAAGUCCCUUGCGGAUGGAGCUGAAAUCAGUCGAAGAUACCAGCUGGCUGCAACUGUUUAUUAAAAACACAGCACUGUGCAAACACGAAAGUGGACGUAUACGGUGUGACGCCUGCCCGGUGCCGGAAGGUUAAUUGAUGGGGUCAGCGCAAGCGAAGCUCUUGAUCGAAGCCCCGGUAAACGGCGGCCGUAACUAUAACGGUCCUAAGGUAGCGAAAUUCCUUGUCGGGUAAGUUCCGACCUGCACGAAUGGCGUAAUGAUGGCCAGGCUGUCUCCACCCGAGACUCAGUGAAAUUGAACUCGCUGUGAAGAUGCAGUGUACCCGCGGCAAGACGGAAAGACCCCGUGAACCUUUACUAUAGCUUGACACUGAACAUUGAGCCUUGAUGUGUAGGAUAGGUGGGAGGCUUUGAAGUGUGGACGCCAGUCUGCAUGGAGCCGACCUUGAAAUACCACCCUUUAAUGUUUGAUGUUCUAACGUGGACCCGUGAUCCGGGUUGCGGACAGUGUCUGGUGGGUAGUUUGACUGGGGCGGUCUCCUCCUAAAGAGUAACGGAGGAGCACGAAGGUUGGCUAAUCCUGGUCGGACAUCAGGAGGUUAGUGCAAUGGCAUAAGCCAGCUUGACUGCGAGCGUGACGGCGCGAGCAGGUGCGAAAGCAGGUCAUAGUGAUCCGGUGGUUCUGAAUGGAAGGGCCAUCGCUCAACGGAUAAAAGGUACUCCGGGGAUAACAGGCUGAUACCGCCCAAGAGUUCAUAUCGACGGCGGUGUUUGGCACCUCGAUGUCGGCUCAUCACAUCCUGGGGCUGAAGUAGGUCCCAAGGGUAUGGCUGUUCGCCAUUUAAAGUGGUACGCGAGCUGGGUUUAGAACGUCGUGAGACAGUUCGGUCCCUAUCUGCCGUGGGCGCUGGAGAACUGAGGGGGGCUGCUCCUAGUACGAGAGGACCGGAGUGGACGCAUCACUGGUGUUCGGGUUGUCAUGCCAAUGGCACUGCCCGGUAGCUAAAUGCGGAAGAGAUAAGUGCUGAAAGCAUCUAAGCACGAAACUUGCCCCGAGAUGAGUUCUCCCUGACCCUUUAAGGGUCCUGAAGGAACGUUGAAGACGACGACGUUGAUAGGCCGGGUGUGUAAGCGCAGCGAUGCGUUGAGCUAACCGGUACUAAUGAACCGUGAGGCUUAACCUUACAACGCCGAAGGUGUUU
rnacentral:rRNA from 1 species